rnacentral:rRNA from 1 species
CGUAGGGAGCAAGCGUUGUUCGGAUUUACUGGGCGUAAAGGGCGCGUAGGCGGCGCGGUAAGUCACUUGUGAAAUCUCUGAGCUUAACUCAGAACGGCCAAGUGAUACCGCAGUGCUAGAGUGCAGAAAGGGCAAUCGGAAUUCUUGGUGUAGCGGUGAAAUGCGUAGAUAUCAAGAGGAACACCUGAGGCGAAGGCGGGUUGCUAGGCUGACACUGACGCUGAGGCGCGAAAGCCAGGGGAGCAAACGGGAUUAGAUACCCCGGUAGUCCUGGCCCUAAACGAUGAAUACUUGGUGUCUGGAGUUCUAAUACUCCGGGUGCCGUCGCUAACGUUUUUAGUAUUCCGCCUGGGGAGUACGCUCGCAAGAGUG